AUUGAACGCUGGCGGCAUGCUUUACACAUGCAAGUCGAACGGCAGCACAGGGAGCUUGCUCCUGGGUGGCGAGUGGCGAACGGGUGAGUAAUGUAUCGGAACGUUCCUGGUAGUGGGGGAUAACUACUCGAAAGAGUGGCUAAUACCGCAUGAGAUCUUUGGAUGAAAGCGGGGGACCUUCGGGCCUCGUGCUACUGGAGCGGCCGAUAUCAGAUUAGGUUGUUGGUGGGGUAAAGGCCUACCAAGCCUGCGAUCUGUAGCUGGUCUGAGAGGACGACCAGCCACACUGGGACUGAGACACGGCCCAGACUCCUACGGGAGGCAGCAGUGGGGAAUUUUGGACAAUGGGCGCAAGCCUGAUCCAGCAAUGCCGCGUGCAGGACGAAGGCCUUCGGGUUGUAAACUGCUUUUGUACAGAACGAAAAGUCUCUGGCUAAUAUCUAGAGAUCAUGACGGUACUGUAAGAAUAAGCACCGGCUAACUACGUG
rnacentral:rRNA from 1 species